CUGAGCUUUCGCUCACCAUCCACCACUGCUGUUUGCCACUGUCGCAGACCCACCGCCGACUCCCAUCCCUCUGGAUCCGGCAGGGUGUCCGCUGAGCUCCUGAUACGGCGAGACUCCCAUUGCCACUCCCGAUCAUGCUAAAGGCUUGCCAUUGUUCCUGCAACGUUAAGUGCCUGGGUUCGUCCUAAUCGAGCUGAACACUAGUCACUGGGUUCCAUGGUUCUCUUCCGUGACCCACGGCUUCUAAUAGAGCUAUAACACUCACUGCAUGGCCCAAGAUUCCAUUCCUUGGAAUCCGUGAGGCCAAGAACCCCAGGUCAGAGAAGACGAGGCUUGCCACCAUCUUGGAAGCGGCCCGCCACCAUCUUGGAAGUGGCUCGCCACCAUCUUGGGAGCUCUGUGAGCAAGGACCUCCGGUAACAUUUUGGCGACCACGAAGGGACAUCCAAAGCUUAUUGCCUAACGGUCCACAAUAAAACAUUCUCACUUUGGUAACUGUAUAAAAAUAGAAGUACAUUACAUAAAAAAGCUCACUAUCCUUGACAGAGAAGAAAGGACUUAGAACCGGAAUUCAACUUUGUGACCAUAAUCUGCCACCAGGGAAACCACAUGAGAAGAGAAGUUGUUCAAUUGUCCUGGGCAAUAGACUACUGGAGAGAUUUGAAGCUAAACUGCCUUAGUUCAAGUCUUAGUUCUGUCACACAGUAACCAGUUGAGCACAGAGUAUUCAUUAUCCUGAGGCCGAGAAUUUCUGGAUGAAUGUGGUUAAAUCACUGGAACAAUAAAGCAAGACAGUUAAGAAAAGCACCUGGCACAAAGGGAGAAUGCUGCAAGAAAGAAAACACAAGCAUUUUAAAGGAACCAUAACAGUUACAAAGAAUCAGGAGACAAUGCAGGAUGGUAUAGGAGGCCAAAGGAAGAAUACAUUUCAAGCUAUUCUACUUCUACUGUUCAUCGGUUGAAAUGGUCAUCAAAAUGUAAUAAGUUGAUCGAAGACUCUCAGAUAUUACUUUAGAAUAUAUUCCUUUUAUGAAAGCUGCAUCUGUAUUUGACUUGGUAAGAUAAUAAAUUCAAGAAAAGCCCAACUGGGACCUCUAACAUACUCUUCUACAAUAUAUGAAUUUUAUACUAAAUAAGACUAUAAUAUUCUCCUCUACAAGUGGAAACCACAUCCCCAUAGGAAAUCGAGAUGCUAAACUAUUAAUAGUUUACCCAGGUUUUCUCUGCCUACCAUGGAACCUUAAACUUCAUCACAGCCUAAGCACUGUAAAACAUUAUAAUUUAUGUUCAUAUAAAUGAAACUCUCUAGACAUUCUUCAUCUUGUCUACUACUUAAUGUUUCUGAUGUUUUUAAGACAGAGAAGUUCUCUGCAUUCAACCUGAGAAAAGACAAUGUCAAAAUAAAUUUAUAUAUCAAAUAAAUACUGUCAGAAGCAUUGCUAUAAGUCUGGUAAUGUUUUAAAAUGUUGUGCCAGUAA
rnacentral:lncRNA from 1 species